GCCUAUGAUGGCAUUAAAUAUACUUUGAUUAUUUACUAUGAAAAUAACUUAAAGCUGAGGC
rnacentral:snoRNA from 1 species